GAUAGUCUUGAAAAGUUCACCACUGCACUUCUCUUUUGAGUAGCAUCUAAAAGGAAAGGUUUUCCCAUUUAUAGUUCAGACCAAAAUUACUCAUAGAACAAAAGGUACUGAAUAAUCAAAAUAAACAGAGGAGUUCAUCUGUGUGAAUGUGCUUAUAGUGUAGCUAAACUACUGUUUAGUACAGUAACCCUUGCUUAAAAAAGAGAGAGA